AACGCCGCCCCUGCCACCACGCUGUCCGCCCAUGCCGUACGACGGCCGGGAAUGCCUCCUCCACCACUCGCUGCUCCGCGUUGGCCGCCGCACGCCGUAGAUCCGGUGGCCGGAGGGCCGGAUCCGGUCGUCAAGACCCGGGAUCCGCCCCGCGCCGCUGGACUCACUGCCACCGCCGCCAACCCGGCCGGCACAGCCGCUCCGCGCUGCUCCCCCGCCCGGGACCAACGCGCG
rnacentral:lncRNA from 1 species